rnacentral:rRNA from 1 species
GAGUUUGAUCAUGGCUCAGAUUGAACGCUGGCGGCAGGCUUAACACAUGCAAGUCGAGCGGUAACAGAGAGAAGCUUGCUUCUCUGCUGACGAGCGGCGGACGGGUGAGUAAUGCCUAGGAAUCUGCCUUGUAGUGGGGGAUAACUUGCCGAAAGGUAAGCUAAUACCGCAUACGCCCUAAGGGGGAAAGCAGGGGACUCUUCGGAGCCUUGCGCUAUUAGAUGAGCCUAGGUCGGAUUAGUUAGUUGGUGGGGUAAUGGCUCACCAAGACCGCGAUCCGUAACUGGUCUGAGAGGAUGAUCAGUCACACUGGAACUGAGACACGGUCCAGACUCCUACGGGAGGCAGCAGUGGGGAAUAUUGGACAAUGGGGGAAACCCUGAUCCAGCCAUGCCGCGUGUGUGAAGAAGGCCUUCGGGUUGUAAAGCACUUUAAUUUGGGAGGAAGGGCUUGCGGUUAAUAACCGCUAAGUUUUGACGUUACCAAAAGAAUAAGCACCGGCUAACUUCGUGCCAGCAGCCGCGGUAAA